CAAUAGCGUAUAUUAAAGUUGUUGCGGUUAAAAAGCUCGUAGUUGGAGUUCUGCCAGGUGCCGUCUGUCCGCCCCAGUGGUGAGUACGUGACGCGCAUUUGGCCCUUUCAAGGGGAGCGUAUCUGCACUUUACUGUGUGGUGCGGGAUCCUUGACUUUUACUUUGAGGAAAUAGGAGUGUUCCAAGCAGGCUCUCGUCGUGCACAGCUCAGCAUGGAAUAAUAGCAUUGGACCUCGAUUCUAAGCUGUUGGUUGCCAGAAGCGAGGUAAUGAUGAAGAGGGAUAGUUGGGGGCAUUCGUAUUUAACUGUCAGAGGUGAAAUUCUUGGAUUUGUUAAAGACGGUCUACUGCGAAAGCAUCUGCCAUGGAUGUUUUCAUUGA
rnacentral:rRNA from 1 species